rnacentral:rRNA from 1 species
GUAGUUCGAGUCCGUGGCUACGACGGACGAACGCUGGCGGCGUGCUUAACACAUGCAAGUCGUACGGUAAGGCCCUUCGGGGGUACACGAGUGGCGAACGGGUGAGUAACACGUGAGUAACCUGCCCACAACUUUGGGAUAACGCUAGGAAACUGGUGCUAAUACUGGAUAUGUGCUCCUGCUGCAUGGUCGGGGGGUUGGAAAGCUCCGGCGGUUGUGGAUGGACUCGCGGCCUAUCAGCUUGUUGGUCGGGGUAGUGGCCUACCAAGGCGGCGACGGGUAGCCGGCCUGAGAGGGUGACCGGCCACAUUGGGACUGAGAUACGGCCCAGACUCCUACGGGAGGCAGCAUGGGGAAUAUUGCACAAUGGGCGCAAGCCUGAUGCAGCAACGCCGCGUGCGGGAUGACGGCCUUCGGGUUGUAAACCGCUUUCAGCAGGGACGAAGCUUUUGUGACGGUACCUGCAGAAGAAGCACCGGCUAACUACGUG